UACGGGGGGGGCAAGCGUUGUUCGGAAUUACUGGGCGUAAAGGGCUCGUAGGCGGCCAACUAAGUCGGAUGUGAAAUCCCCAGGCUUAACCUGGGAACUGCAUCCGAUACUGGAUGGCUUGAAUCCGGGAGAGGAAUGCGGAAUUCCAGGUGUAGCGGUGAAAUGCGUAGAUAUCUGGAGGAACACCGGUGGCGAAGGCGGCAUCCUGGACCGGCAUUGACGCUGAGGCGCGAAAGCCAGGGGAGCAAACGGG
rnacentral:rRNA from 1 species